rnacentral:pre_miRNA from 11 species
CGGACUAAACACUUGGGAAUCGUUAUUUGGGGCGAUUGUCGGACUAGUCGCUGCGUACAAAACGGAACUAUUUCAACUAGUGACUAGACCGAACACUCGCGUCCUAAAGCACGAUCAGUUCAACGUUGGAGCG